rnacentral:misc_RNA from 1 species
GACCAAGAACACAUAAAACACAGGACUAGCACAUGGCAAUGGUAAAGAGAAAUAAUAACACUGGGCUUAUCCCAGUUAGCACGAAGCAGUUAAUGGCAUUAGGAGCGGCCGCAGGGGCUUCAGCCCUGCAGGGAUUUGUAAGGAACAACGGGGCGGCUAUUGUCGGAAAGGUCGUCGAUGUUGGACAGAAGGUGUACAAAGCAGUGAAGAAGCGAGGAGGUAAGAAACAGCAGCAGAUUAAGCAUGUAGGUGGUACAGGUGGGGCCAUUAUGGCCCCGGUUGCAGUUACGAGACAACUUACCGGGAGUAAGCCUAAGUUUACCGGUAAGACGUCUGGGUCUGUGACGGUUACGCACCGUGAAUACUUAUCACAAGUGAAUAUGUCCACAGGUUUCCAGGUAAACGGGGGAAUUGUUGGCAAUUUGUUACAGCUCAACCCGUUGAAUGGUACUUUGUUCUCAUGGUUGCCCGCGAUAGCGUCCAACUUUGAUCAGUACUCGUUCAACAGCGUUUUGCUACAUUAUGUCCCUCUGUGCGCAACCACUGAGGUGGGGCGAGUGGCUAUGUACUUUGAUAAAGAUUCGGAAGAUCCUGAACCUGCUGAUAGGGUUGAGUUGGCAAACUACAGCGUACUAGCAGAGACAGCCCCCUGGGCUGAACGUGCGCUCUGGGUUCCUACCGAUAGGAUUAAGAGAUUUUGUGAUGACAGUUCCACAUUAGAUCACAAACUUAUCGAUCUAGGACAGUUGGGCGUGGCUACAUAUGGUGGCGCUGGAACUAAUGCUGUUGGGGAUAUCUUCAUCUCCUACAGUGUUACGUUAUAUUUCCCUCAACCUACGAAUACUCUCCUUAGCACUAGAAGGCUCGACCUUGCUGGCACACCGGUCACAGCAUCCGGACCCGGGUACAUCCUGUUAACCAGGACGCCCACUGUACUUACAAUGACAUUUCGUGCCACUGGCACGUUUGUCAUCUCUGGAGCAUAUCGUUGUCUAACUUCAACGGUGCUCGGCCUGACAGGUGGGGUCAACGUGAACAGCAUUACAGUUGUGGACAAUGUUGGAACGAGCAGUUCAUUUUUCAUAAAUUGCACUGUCUCAAACCUACCGUCCGUUAUCACGUUUACUACCACUGGUAUAACAUCUGCUACGAUACAGUGCAAUCGUGCUACGCGACAGAACGAUGUCUCUUUAAUUUAGUGAGUCCUGUGAGGGGCCUCUUGAACUAGACCAGUUCAUGGAUACUGAAUACGAACAAGUCAAUAAACCAUGGAGCGAGUUAUACAAGGAAACGACGCUAGGGAACAAGCUAAUGGUGAACGUUGGGAUGGAGGAUCAGGAGGUACCACUUCUCCCUUCAAACUUCCUGACGAAAGUCCGAGUUGGACUGAGUGGAGGAUACAUAACGAUGAGACGGAUUCGAAUAAAGAUAAUCCCCUUGGUUUCAAGGAAAGCUGGGGUUUCGGGAAAGUUGUAUUUAAGAGAUAUCUCAGAUACGACAGGACGGAAACUUCAUUGCACAGAGUCCUUGGAUCUUGGACGGGAGAUUCGGUUAACUAUGCAGCAUCUCGAUUUCUCGGUGUCAACCAGAUCGGAUGUACCUAUAGUAUUCGGUUUCGAGGAGUUAGUGUCACCAUUUCUGGAGGGUCGAGAACUCUUCAGCAUCUCUGUGAGAUGGCAAUUCGGUCUAAGCAAGAACUGCUACAGCUUGCCCCAGUCGAAGUGGAAAGUAAUGUAUCAAGAGGACGCCCUGAAGGUGCUGAAGCCUUCAAAGAAGAAAGCGAGUAGGACAGACUCUUCAGUCUGAUUCUGUGGAAAUGAGAGUAAUUCUGACAUAGCAUACAGGUUACUCGUGUUGGGUUCUAGAUGUUAUGAUGACGAGCUGGUCGGGCUCCGCACGGGUUUGGUCGCCCGGGGAUGGAGAUAUGGAAAGGGUCUCGUGUGCUGUUAGUCAGUCGAAAGACGUGCUUGCAACAUGGGCCUAUAACCAGAUAAGUCAUAGCAAUACUAGCCAACAUGAAUUGGAUUCCUGUUUACGAAAGUUAGGUGUCACUUGUGGAGACAGAGUUAGACACGGUUGAUCUCACCCUUCGGGGGGGCUAUAGAGAUCACUGGAAGCACUACCGGACAACCGGAACAUUGCAGCAAUGCAGCCC